AAUUUAUUUUCGUUCGCUGGUGCAGCUGCGUUUGAACUUUUCUACUUUUCGGUUCUAAAUUUAAGUUUAAUUCUAAACAUUUACCGUUAGGUUCUUCCCUAGCCUCCCUUGCAUUCUUUCCGUGUGGAGCGUACUGUAGCCUUAUGGCAUUGUUUCGCCUUGCAGACCUCCAAAAUGCAACUAUUUCUGGCCCGCAUACUAGAUACACAGCCAAUUCGUAUCUAUAAGAUGCACCACAUAAGCGGAUGCAUCCCAUUUGGCGGCGAUAUCUCUUCUCUAAUCUCAAUGAUCUAAAGAGUGAGAUUUUUUUUUUUUGGAAGGCGGAGGAGGAGGAAAAGUUUUCUAACUGUUCCAUUACCAAUUGCUACGAAAACGAAAAGAGUGCGCCAAAAUGGGAGAAGACUCCUCAACCAGGAAGAGAUGCGGAAAACAAGAGAGAAGAUAUGGAGGAAAAAAACAACAAUAAACAUCUACUGACUCGCAACGGUAUAUUUUUUUUUUUUUUCCUUUUUUACAUACAAGCUUACAAA